AACACAAACCCCGACGCUGAAUGCGUCAAGGAAUUUAAAAUUUUCUCCGACCGCACCUGCAUGUCACCGGAGACGGUUUACGUGCGGGUUGUGUUCUGACACACAAUAUAGAAUGACUCUCGGCAACGGAUAUCUAGGCUCUUGCAUCGAUGAAGAACGUAGCGAAAUGCGAUACUUGGUGUGAAUUGCAGAAUCCCGUGAACCAUCGAGUCUUUGAACGCAAGUUGCGCCCGAUGCCAUUAGGUUGAGGGCACGUCUGCCUGGGUGUCACAUAUCGAAGCCUCUUGCCAAUUUCCUAUCGAUGGGUAUUGUGCAGGGUGAAUGUUGGCCUCCCGUGAGCUCCAUCAUCUCAUGGUUGGUUGAAAAUCGAGACCUUGGUAGGGUGUGCCAUGAUAGAUGGUGGAUGUGUUACGCACGAGACCAAGAAGUCAUGUGCUGCGCUCUAUCGAAUUUAGCCUCUUUUACCCACAUGCGUUUCUAAAUGCUCGUGAUGAGACCUCAGGUCAGGCGGGGCUACCCGCUGAAUUUAAGCAUAUCAAUAAGCGGAGGAAAAGAAACUAACAAGGAUUCC
rnacentral:rRNA from 3 species